GGAUCGGUCGUAUAGCGGCUAUUACAGCAGCCUCUUAAGCUGCGUGACGUGGGUUCGAAUCCCACCCGAUCCACCA
rnacentral:tRNA from 1 species